CAGGCCUAACACAUGCAAGUCGAACGCUGAAGCCGACAGCUUGCUGUUGGUGGAUGAGUGGCGAACGGGUGAGUAACACGUGAGUAACCUGCCCCUGAUUUCGGGAUAAGCCUGGGAAACUGGGUCUAAUACCGGAUAUGACCUCUUUUCGCAUGAGGGUUGGUGGAAAGUUUUUCGAUCGGGGAUGGGCUCGCGGCCUAUCAGCUUGUUGGUGGGGUAAUGGCCUACCAAGGCGACGACGGGUAGCCGGCCUGAGAGGGCGACCGGCCACACUGGGACUGAGACACGGCCCAGACUCCUACGGGAGGCAGCAGUGGGGAAUAUUGCACAAUGGGGGAAACCCUGAUGCAGCGACGCAGCGUGCGGGAUGACGGCCUUCGGGUUGUAAACCGCUUUCAGCAGGGAAGAAGCGAAAGUGACGGUACCUGCAGAAGAAGUACCGGCUAACUACGUGCCAGCAGCCGCGGUAAUACGUAGGGUACGAGCGUUGUCCGGAAUUAUUGGGCGUAAAGAGCUCGUAGGUGGUUGGUCACGUCUGCUGUGGAAACGCAACGCUUAACGUUGCGCGUGCAGUGGGUACGGGCUGACUAGAGUGCAGUAGGGGAGUCUGGAAUUCCUGGUGUAGCGGUGAAAUGCGCAGAUAUCAGGAGGAACACCGGUGGCGAAGGCGGGACUCUGGGCUGUAACUGACACUGAGGAGCGAAAGCAUGGGGAGCGAACAGGAUUAGAUACCCUGGUAGUCCAUGCCGUAAACGUUGGGCACUAGGUGUGGGGGACAUUCCACGUUCUCCGCGCCGUAGCUAACGCAUUAAGUGCCCCGCCUGGGAGUACGGUCGCAAGCA
rnacentral:rRNA from 1 species